rnacentral:misc_RNA from 1 species
AAAAAAAAAAAAAAAAACAUCGUAAAAGGUGAGACCAAUGUAUUAUUAGCUUCCAAUACUCAAAAGUAGAUCGUAAAUCAAUGGUAUCCACAAAGCAGCUUACCAUCUAUCCCUUGACCUCUCCACGUCUCUGUUGCCCAAAAAUCCUCUAUCUCUGGCACCUUGGAUUGGUUUUCUAUCAUCAGUGGGUCUACUCCAUACAUCUGCAGUGCCACGUGAUCGAGGUCUGUCUAUAGACUCAAAACUUCUGGACUCAUCAAAGGAUCCUUGAGAAGGCGGUCUUUCUGGAAAGACAGCGGCCCUACCUGCUCCAGAGCCAGGCCUUUCUGGAAAGACAGCAGCCCUGCCUGCUCCAGAGCCAGGUCUUUCAGUGGCUUUCUUCCCAAAGCGAACUUUAUCAUCCAAAUCAAGGAUCAGCGUCUCCAGUUCACGUUCUUUUUUAUUAAUUCUGUCGCGCAGAUUUUGCAUCUCUCCUGCAGAUUCUUGCGCCGAUUCUUUGUUAGCAUUCAGAGAUAAACCUUCCUCAAGUUCCUUCCUUAGGACAUCAAUUUCCUCUUUCAACAUCUUUUCCUCUUCUGUUUCAGGCCUGUCAACAGCACGAUGCUCAAGUUGAAGAUCUAUCUUUCGCCAGUCCUUGCCACGUUCCUCCAGCAAAACUUCCCUAGGUUUAGCAUCCCCGAAUGGAUUGACUUUUGGCCUCGGCUUCACCACAUUUUCUACGCCCUGUAAUCCUGGACCCUCCGAACGGCUGGAUUGAGCACUCGAAGGCCUGCUAGAGUGAGCACUGGUUGGCCUACUGGUUCUUUUGGCCUCA